rnacentral:sRNA from 1 species
CGGUGCAGGGGAGAUCAUGUUUGACUGUAUGGAUGUUCUGUCAGUGAGUCCUGGGCAAAUCCUGGAUUUCUACACUGCGAGUCCGUCUUCCUGCAUGCUCCAGGAGAAAGCUCUCAAAGCAUGCUUCAGUGGAUUGACCCAAACCGAAUGGCAGCAUCGGCACACUGCUCAAUCGAUUGAAACACAGAGCACCAGCUCUGAGGAACUCGUCCCAAGCCCCCCAUCUCCACUUCCUCCCCCUCGAGUAUACAAACCCUGCUUCGUCUGCCAGGACAAAUCAUCAGGGUACCACUAUGGGGUCAGCGCCUGUGAGGGAUGUAAGGGCUUUUUCCGCAGAAGUAUUCAGAAGAAUAUGAUUUACACUUGUCACCGAGAUAAGAACUGUGUUAUUAAUAAAGUCACCAGGAAUCGAUGCCAAUACUGUCGACUCCAGAAGUGCUUUGAAGUGGGAAUGUCCAAAGAAUAAUUCCAGUGCUGACCAUCGAGUCCGACUGGACCUGGGCCUCUGGGACAAAUUCAGUGAACUGGCCACCAAGUGCAUUAUUAAGAUCGUGGAGUUUGCUAAACGUCUGCCUGGUUUCACUGGCUUGACCAUCGCAGACCAAAUUACCCUGCUGAAGGCCGCCUGCCUGGACAUCCUGAUUCUUAGAAUUUGCACCAGGUAUACCCCAGAACAAGACACCAUGACUUUCUCAGACGGCCUUACCCUAAAUCGAACUCAGAUGCACAAUGCUGGAUUUGGUCCUCUGACUGACCUUGUGUUCACCUUUGCCAACCAGCUCCUGCCUUUGGAAAUGGAUGACACAGAAACAGGCCUUCUCAGUGCCAUCUGCUUAAUCUGUGGAGACCGCCAGGACCUUGAGGAACCGACAAAAGUAGAUAAGCUACAAGAACCAUUGCUGGAAGCACUAAAAAUUUAUAUCAGAAAAAGACGACCCAGCAAGCCUCACAUGUUUCCAAAGAUCUUAAUGAAAAUCACAGAUCUCCGUAGCAUCAGUGCUAAAGGUGCAGAGCGUGUAAUUACCUUGAAAAUGGAAAUUCCUGGAUCAAUGCCACCUCUCAUUCAAGAAAUGCUGGAGAAUUCUGAAGGACAUGAACCCUUGACCCCAAGUUCAAGUGGGAACACAGCAGAGCACAGUCCUAGCAUCUCACCCAGCUCAGUGGAAAACAGUGGGGUCAGUCAGUCACCACUCGUGCAAUAAGACAUUUUCUAGCUACUUCAAACAUUCCCCAGU